GAUGAAGAACGUAGCGAAAUGCGAUAAGUAAUGUGAAUUGCAGAAUUCAGUGAAUCAUCGAAUCUUUGAACGCACAUUGCGCCCGCCAGCAUUCUGGCGGGCAUGCCUGUUCGAGCGUCAUUUCAACCCUCAAGCUCUGCUUGGUGUUGGGGCCCUACGGUUGACGUAGGCCCUUAAAGGUAGUGGCGGACCCUCUCGGAGCCUCCUUUGCGUAGUAACUAACGUCUCGCAUUGGGAUUCGGAGGGACUCUUGCCGUAAAACCCACAAAUUUUCUAAUGGUUGACCUCGGAUCAGGUAGGAAUACCCGCUGAACUUAAGCAUAUCAAUAAGCGGAGGA
rnacentral:misc_RNA from 1 species